rnacentral:rRNA from 1 species
CACGUAGGGUGCGAGCGUUGUCCGGAAUUAUUGGGCGUAAAGAGCUCGUAGGCGGUGUGUCGCGUCGGCCGUGAAAACCUGCAGCUUAACUGUGGGCUUGCGGUCGAUACGGGCAUCACUGGAGUUCGGUAGGGGAGACUGGAAUUCCUGGUGUAGCGGUGAAAUGCGCAGAUAUCAGGAGGAACACCGGUGGCGAAGGCGGGCCUCUGGGCCGAUACUGACGCUGAGGAGCGAAAGCGUGGGGAGCGAACAGG